rnacentral:rRNA from 1 species
GACGAACGCUGGCGGCGUGCCUAAUACAUGCAAGUCGAACGCUUCUUUCCUCCCGAGUGCUUGCACUCAAUUGGAAAGAGGAGUGGCGGACGGGUGAGUAACACGUGGGUAACCUACCCAUCAGAGGGGGAUAACACUUGGAAACAGGUGCUAAUACCGCAUAACAGUUUAUGCCGCAUGGCAUAAGAGUGAAAGGCGCUUUCGGGUGUCGUUGAUGGAUGGACCCGCGGUGCAUUAGCUAGUUGGUGAGGUAACGGCUCACCAAGGCCACGAUGCAUAGCCGACCUGAGAGGGUGAUCGGCCACACUGGGACUGAGACACGGCCCAGACUCCUACGGGAGGCAGCAGUAGGGAAUCUUCGGCAAUGGACGAAAGUCUGACCGAGCAACGCCGCGUGAGUGAAGAAGGUUUUCGGAUCGUAAAACUCUGUUGUUAGAGAAGAACGAGGACGUUAGUAACUGAACGUCCCCUGACGGUAUCUAAUCAGAAAGCCACGGCUAACUACGUG